CAGUAGCCACGGUAAUACGGAGGGAGCUAGCGUUGUUCGGAAUUACUGGGCGUAAAGCGCACGUAGGCGGCUUUGUAAGUUAGAGGUGAAAGCCUGGAGCUCAACUCCAGAAUUGCCUUUAAGACUGCAUCGCUUGAAUCCGGGAGAGGUGAGUGGAAUUCCGAGUGUAGAGGUGAAAUUCGUAGAUAUUCGGAAGAACACCAGUGGCGAAGGCGGCUCACUGGACCGGCAUUGACGCUGAGGUGCGAAAGCGUGGGGAGCAAACAGGAUUAGAUACCCCAGUAGUCCCUGUCUCUUAUAC
rnacentral:rRNA from 1 species